rnacentral:lncRNA from 1 species
CGGUACAGUUCGUCCUUAUUACAUUCUUAGUGUUCAACUGCCUGAGCCCCAACCUCCAACUGCCAGUCACAGUAGAAUUUCCAAAAGUCCAUCUGUUCCCUUCCAGGCUCUCAUUCCUCCUCCUUGGAAGGGUUCCUUCUUGUUUCCAAGUAGCUUUUGGGAGGCUGAAGUUGUCUGGCUCCGUACAGGAUCAACACGCUGACUGGAGCAGAGAGGCCCCAGCGGCUGAGCUGUUGCCGGCCUUUGAGAGUUAUGCCUGAAGCUCGGCACAGGACAGAACCCAAAAAUGAACAUCUAAAUUAGUUCCUUGAGAGCAUUCAAGAAAAAAGCCAAUCACAUCUAUGUAACAUGUAAACAGCAUCCAUUUCCCGUUGAUGAUCCCAAACGUGGACUCUCAGCAAAGGGGAAUGAUGCUUCCCUCAGCACCGGGAGGGAAGAAGAGCCAGGCUCCUACUGCUUCUCAGAGGGAUUUGCCUCAAAGUGUGAUUCUAAUCAACACAUGAGUGAGGAAGAGGGGAUGGGACCGAAUCGCAACAAGGCACGCUAGCCACAUCUGAAUCCAGAUGUUGGUUGCUGGUGACAACAAGCUGCCUUCUUUGUUUAAUGAGGCCACCGACAAGCUGAACUCCAAGGAAACUCUGACGAUAGAGAGCAACACUC